AUUGAACGCUGGCGGCAGGCCUAACACAUGCAAGUCGAACGAGUGGCGGACGGGUGAGUAAUGUCUGGGAAACUGCCCGAUGGAGGGGGAUAACUACUGGAAACGGUAGCUAAUACCGCAUACCAUCGGAUGUGCCCAGAGGGGAUUAGCUAGUAGGUGGGGUAACGACUCACCUAGGCGACGAUCCCUAGCUGGUCUGAGAGGAUGACCAGCCACACGUGAACUGAGACACGGUACAGACUCCUACGGGAGGGAGGAGUGGAGAAUAUUGCAAAAUGGGCGCAAGCCUGAUGCAGCCAUGCCGCGUGUAUGAAGAAGGCCAUCGGGUUGUAAAGUACUUUCAGCGAGGAGGCGUUACUCGAAGAAGAAGCACCGGCUAACUCCGUGCCAGCAGCCGCGGUAAUAC
rnacentral:rRNA from 1 species